rnacentral:rRNA from 1 species
ACGGAGGAUCCAAGCGUUACCCGGAAUUAUUGGGCGUAAAGAGUAGCGUAGGCGGUUUACUAAGUGAGAUGCGAAAUCGACGGGCUCAACCCGGCGGUGGUAUUUCAAACUAGUAAACUUGAGGAUGGUAGAGGUGAGUGGAAUUGCAGGUGUAGGGGUGAAAUCCGUAGAUAUCUGCAGGAACACCAAUGGCGAAGGCAGCUCACUGGGCCAUUCCUGACGCUAAGGCACGAAAGCGUGGGGAGCGAACCGGA